UACAGAGGUCUCAAGCGUUGUUCGGAUUCAUUGGGCGUAAAGGGUGUGUAGGUGGCGCGCUAAGUCGGGUGUGAAAUUUCGGAGCUUAACUCCGAAACUGCAUUCGAUACUGGCGUGCUUGAGGACUGGAGAGGAGACUGGAAUUUACGGUGUAGCAGUGAAAUGCGUAGAUAUCGAUAAGGAAGACCAGGUGGCGAAGGCGGGUCUCUGGACAGUUCCUGACACUGAGACACGAAGGCCAGGGGAGCAAACGGG
rnacentral:rRNA from 1 species